rnacentral:rRNA from 1 species
UACGUAGGGGGCAAGCGUUGUCCGGAUUUAUUGGGCGUAAAGAGCGUGUAGGCGGUUUGGUAGGUCCGUUGUGAAAACUCGAGGCUCAACCUCGAGACGCCGAUGGAAACCAUCAGACUAGAGUCCGGAAGAGGAGAGUGGAAUUCCUGGUGUAGCGGUGAAAUGCGCAGAUAUCAGGAAGAACACCCGUGGCUAAGGCGGUUCUCUAGUACGGUACUGACGCUGAGACGCGAAAGCGUGGGGAGCGAACAGG